CCCUGGUGGCGAGUGGCGAACGGGUGAGUAAUGCAUCGGAACGUGCCCAGUAGUGGGGGAUAACUAGUCGAAAGAUUAGCUAAUACCGCAUACGACCUAUGGGUGAAAGCGGGGGAUUCGCAAGAACCUCGCGCUAUCGGAGCGGCCGAUGUCUGAUUAGCUAGUUGGCGGGGUAAAAGCCCACCAAGGCGACGAUCAGUAGCUGGUCUGAGAGGACGACCAGCCACACUGGGACUGAGACACGGCCCAGACUCCUACGGGAGGCAGCAGUGGGGAAUUUUGGACAAUGGGCGCAAGCCUGAUCCAGCCAUGCCGCGUGCGGGAAGAAGGCCUUCGGGUUGUAAACCGCUUUUGGCAGGAACGAAACGGCGCGAGCGAAUAUCUCGCGUUAAUGACGGUACCUGCAGAAUAAGCACCGGCUAACUACGUGCCAGCAGCCGCGGUAAUACGUAGGGUGCAAGCGUUAAUCGGAAUUACUGGGCGUAAAGCGUACGCAGGCGGCUUUGCAAGACAGGUGUGAAAUCCCCGGGCCUAACCUGGGAACUGCAUUUGUGACUGCAUGGCUAGAGUUUGUCAGAGGGGGGUGGAAUUCCACGUGUAGCAGUGAAAUGCGUAGAUAUGUGGAGGAACACCGAUGGCGAAU
rnacentral:rRNA from 1 species